rnacentral:rRNA from 1 species
GAUGAACGCUGACAGAAUGCUUAACACAUGCAAGUCUUUGGCGAAGCUGUGCUUGCACAGCCUAGCCAAGGCGGACGGGUGAGUAACGCGUAAGGAACUUGCCCUGCAGUCAGGGAUAACAGACGGAAACGACUGAUAAGACCUGGUAAAGUCAGGCGGACUCAUGUCCAGCCUGAUGAAAAGAGAUGCUGCAGGAGAGCCUUGCGUCCUAUUAGCUUGUUGGUGGGGUAACGGCCCACCAAGGCGAUGAUAGGUAGCCGGCCUGAGAGGGUGGACGGCCACAAGGGGACUGAGAUACGGCCCUUACUCCUACGGGAGGCAGCAGUGGGGAAUAUUGGACAAUGGGGGCAACGCUGAUCCAGCAAUUCUGUGUGCACGAUGAAGGUUUUCGGAUUGUAAAGUGCUUUCAGAAGGGAAGAAAAAAUGACGGUACCUGCAGAAGAAGCGACGGCUAAAUACGUG